UUCCAGCCAAACAUUCAACUACCAGCCAGGGCAUUGCACUGCGGUUGAAAACACAGAGCUGACUGAGUGCAACCAUCUGGUUUUUGUUUGAACAAAAUCGGCCCAGGGGUUCAAGAGUUCCAGUCAAUAAAGGAGUUCCAAACCCCAGAAGAAUCUCCAAGUCGAGUUACAAAAUUGUGAAGUCAGCCAGAAAUCAGUGACGUAACCUUGCAUAACUCAAGGUUCUGGAUCCUGGGCCGCUUGGGAGUUAUAUAACAUGACAUAACAAUGGACCAUUUUCAAAAAUUUGUAUCCAUAAAAGUAUUGUGUUGAUUUCCUUCAUUUUGGAAACAUUUGUAUAAACCAGCCAACUCUUUCACCCUAUCAAUCUUGGGACUAUCUGCCAGUGAUGUCAAAUUAAUUGAUUAUUUUUAAAAUACAACUUAAGACUUAACGAGAACAUGGCACACUCCCUCCCAAUAUACCAAAUAUGCACUUUUGUAAAAUGUUAUGAAUGCUUAAGUGUUUAAGAAGUAAAAGAAGGGUUAGCUAAUGAAAUAAACUAAUUCAAAGUACACUUAAUGUGAAAAUUUUGAAAUUAAUUAGCAUAUUAAUUAAGGUGUUAAUUAGCGUAAUGAAGAAAUAUUGACAAUUUUUCAUCUUGCUUCAUACAAAUUGCCCACAUUUGUGUAGAACUAGAAGGGAUUGAAAUACAACUUUAUGGAAGCCUUAGUAAAACUAAGUAAUUUUUGUCAAUGAAUUAGCAUAUUAAUUAGUUCUUAAUUAAGAAAUAAUCAAAAAAAAUCAUCUGAAAGUGUUCAUUUUGUUUUACUUUGGGUUUCAAAAAAUGACCAAGAAAACUGUGGAGAUGAGAACCCCUUUAAAGCUUGAGCACACUGUAGACUACAUGUAGUGACUAUUGUCUUAGCCCUGAGGGUCAGCUCAGCUGUUUAUAAGAAACCUUGAGAGGUGAUGAAUGACUCACCACAGGAUUAGCCUUAGGCCAAGGGGUCAACAAAGCAAGCUGAUAAGUGUCUCGUGUUAUUGGAAGUACAUCAUGCGUGCAUGUACAUUUGUUAAUGUAAACAUUUUGUAAACCAGUAUAGAAAACUGUUUGGGUAUACAUGUACAUAUGUAUUCAUCUUUUACAGAAAUCUUAAGUCUGCAAUUUGAAGCAAAAUUAAUUAGUAUUUGUUACUAAGUAAUGCCAACUGAGCAUGCUAAGGAUUAUCGACCUCGUCAACGCACAUGACGAACUUGUUUUUUUUUUGUGGGUAAAGUUUUCGUUUUUUCCCCGUUUUUAUCGCUUGAAAUCCAAAGAGCAAUGUGACAAUAGAAUGAAAUAUUAGACAAGAAGAAAAUGAAAUCGUCAAAUUAAAAAUGACAAUCUAGAAACAAUCGUAAAAUUGCCUACCCUUUCUAAAUCCGCACAGUAAAAAAAUGGUCCGAUAAUGCACUUUGAGUCGCAACAAAAUACACAGUCGUGAAUAGCGCGACCGCAACGCGGUCAGUCUGUUCCCACCCUGUGUGCUGCGCGUUACCGUACAAAUGACGCGGACCACUAGGCACUAGACCGAUGACUCAUCAUCGUCGACGUCAUCAAUGGCUUACAAACUCUUUCCCAGAGCCGCGCCUUAAAAGUGACCAUAACAAAAAUGUGCCUCGAUCUCAAGGAUCGACCCAUACAUUGUUGGAUAGAGCACGAGACGACCGUUCCAUUGAUAUGCGGGGGAAGGGCGUACUCCCUAAAGAUCAAAAGUUAUUCGCUUUUAAAGGUUUUCUUUUGUUUUAAGACCUAAUUAAUAUUCAUGAGGCACGGAGUAACAGUCAGUUUUGAAUAAAACCAAGUCUAAGCUUUAAUUUGA